UUUGUAUUUUUGGUAGAGAUGGGGUUUCACCAUGUUGGCCAGGCUGGUCUCGAACACUUGACCUCAGGUGAUCUGCCCGCCUCGGCCUCGCAAAGUGCUGGGAUGACCAGUGCGAGCCACUGCGCCCCGCCAGGCUAGCGGGCCUGUGUGUGUGCUGUCAGGCGUCGAUGCUGGGAGGGUGAUGUGUCCCGACUGCAGGGAGAGGACCCGGGAAGCUCCGAGGUUGGUGACCUCUCCUGCCCCUCCAGUGUGUCUCUCCCCAUGGCUGAUGUGCAGCCCUCAGUGGAUUCUGUGAGUCUUUCUAGUGAAUGGUCAAACCUGAGGGUGGUCUUCGGAGCAGCUGCACGCUAACCCGACGCUGCUUGUUGUGAGCUAGGCCUGACCUGUAAGUGCUUCAUCUGCACUGAGCCCUCGUCCCAACUCAUGAAGCAGGCGCUGUGCUCCCAUUUGAUAGGGGAGGAGACUGAGGCACAGGGCGCUCACGCCUCUUGCCCACAGUCACCCGACUGGUGGGUGCUGGAGCUGGUCUGCUGCAGAGCCCUGGCUCUCACGUCCCAUGCCACCCUGUGCCCAGCUCCUGAGUGCUACCGUCAGCUGGGCCAGAUGGUGGGUGGCUGCUCAGGCUGUCUGGGCACAGCGGAAGGCUCCAGGGGGGCCGGGGGAGGGGCCGUGACGCGGUGGGCUUACCGGUGGCAGGGACUGCACGAUGUCACUGUGGUAGAUGUAGCCGGUGUGGGGCAGCACUGAGGUAGACGAGAAGCCCGACAGCGUCUUGCGCUGGGCCCCGAGCAGCAUGAUGUUGCAGGCGGGCAUCUUGGAGAGGUUCGUCAGGCCGCCGGCCACACCUGCGGUGGGAGGGAGGGAGGAAGGGGGGGCGGUCAGAAGAAAGCAGGGAGGUGGGGGUGCGUGAAUCUGCCUGGGGGCUCGACGUGUGCCGGGCACCUUUACAUGAAGUUCUGGUUGGAUUCCUCGAUGGCCCUGCCAGGCGGGCGACCUGGCCCAUUCCGUGAGGGGCAGAUGCAAAGGAGGCUCAGAGAGGGAGGGCCUGGGGGUGCAGGGAGGAGGCCCCCAACAGGAAGCUGACCACCACGUUUGUGCUAAGCCACACUAACGCCGUUCCAGGGAUGUCUGUGUUUUGGAACCAUUUUCACCAAACCAGGAGCUCCCUGACAACAGGGCCUAGGUGUGGUCAUCUCUGGGUUUCCGGCACAGGGGAGGGAGAAGGAGCUGUGGGGGAGUGUUUUUCCCACAGACGAGGCUUUACUGUGUGCCAGGCUGGCUGACCUCUGUGAUGUCCAGGCAGACGGGGUGCUGAGGUCCAGGUGCCAAAGCCCCCAUUCUACAGAAAAGGAUGUAGCCUUCCCAAGGUCACAGUGUCAGCAGACCCCCGCUCCAUGGGACCCAGCCCGGGGACUCACCCAUGAUCUUGGCGGCCGUGGAUGCCCCGAUAAUGAUGGACAGGUUGGGUGCGAUGAAGGACAUCCGGGACUCCACGUACUCGUAGAUGCGGUGCUUGGAGGCGUUCAGCUCCAGCGCCAUGUCACAGGCCUCCUCCAGCCGCUCCAGCUCCUCCUCCGACAGCUGCUGCCUGCAGGGGCGGAUGGGCCCAGCCUCCUGGGUCUCCCGCCUGCCUGGUGUGCCCAGCCCCAACCCUCUCAGUUCUGUGUGUGCAUGUGUGUAUGUGUGUGUGCGUGUGUACACCUGUGUGUGUAGCUCCAGCCUAAUCCCCAGUCCCAUUAGGGCCCGGCGCCUCCCUCGCAGCGGACAUACCCCUGGGUGGUGGAGGCGGUGACGCUGACGACCAUGAUGGUGGCAUUGGUGAGGAUCUGCUGCAGGUUCUCAUUGUUCUUGCACUUGUCCAGGCUGUUGCCCAGCUCCUGGGGGCGAGCAGAGAAGAUAGGGGAGGCUCGGGAACUCAGGAAGGCUCGAGAACCUCUCUUGCUCAGCACCUCCUCAGGUCUCUUCUUGGGGACACUGGGACAGUCAGGGUCUCUGCACUGGGGGCCUCUCCUGCCUCCACCGCCUGAAGCAUCCACACCAUUCCUGCCUCCACCGCCUCAAGCAUCCACACCAUCUGCCCUGCUUUCGCUGACCUGGAAAUGGAGCCCGGGCAGAGUGGCGUCUGGAAAGACCAUGGCCUCACAAGCCCCUGGCCCGCAUCAAGUCGGAGUGCAAAUCCGCGGCCUCGCUUCCCUGCAGGGGCUUCCCCACCGCCAUCCUAAUCCUUUCCUGGACACGCGUGGGGACCUCCUCCUCUCCCAGCCCUCACGCACACCUGCCCCUCUUUUCCGAAACCCUUCCUUGGCUUUCUCCUAAGACCCAAAGGCUGGACGUGAUCCGACCUCUUCCCCGUCCCCUCCUUCCCCGCCUCACUUCCUCCCUGCUUGUUCCCUCUCCAGCUCUCCGCACUUAGACGUCUCUCUCCCCCAAAUCUCCGUGUGCCUGCCCUGUGUCAACCCCAAUGCCACCGGCUCCGACCACAGCGGGAGCAGCGUGGGUCAGGCCAGCGGGGGUAGGAGGGGAGCCCUGAGAAAGUCCUGUCCAGGCUCCGUCCCCCCCACGCUGGGCAGAGCAGACCACUGAGCCCUCAUCCACGCCUCUCCAUCGUCUCCAGACCCUGAGGCCUCUGGGAGGGGGUCCGAGAGUGAGCCCCGCCUGCCCCUUCACACCAGCAGAAGCACCCCACCUUCUCUGCGCUCACCUUGACCGUGCGGAUGUAAUCCAGUGCAUUGGGGACCAAGGACUCCAGUUCAGGGAAUCUCUUUGAGUACUUAUCCCGGAUGAACUUAUGGAUGAUGUCUAGGUAACUGAAGCCCUGGCUUGUAGCCUGGCACACGGGCACCAGCAUAAAGGCUUUCUCAGCCGCCCUUACCGCUAGGUGUGACCAGGGGAAUUAGUUCUGGUCUGUAAAACGUGAGCUGCAGUGACAUGUUCUUAAAGAAAAGAAGCGCCUUGCUGGUGGGAAUGCGGAGGUGAUGGCUGGAGGUGGGGCAGUCACCUCGCACCGUGAGGCAGGUGGCCGACCAACAGGAUGGAAAGAGCCGGGGCCCUACAGGCAGCCAAGCGGCCACACCAUCCCCAAGUGCUCCUCAGACUCAUACGCGAGAGAACGCACUUCCUUCUUAUUUCAGCCACUCUGUGACAGCAGGUUGUUGGCAUCCACGAUGACGCGGUAUUCAGGUGCUGCCUCCACUGGUCCCAUCACUGUGAGGACACGGAGGCAUGGGUCACUUGUGCACCUCCAGUAAACAGGGACUGCCACAGCUUGUGAGAUGUUUCACCUCUGCCUCCUCAACCAGACACUGGGUGUGACGGGGUCUGACUCCAUCCCUGAGCCUGGCCUGACAUCAGGAAAUGUCACUUUCUGUGUCCCAUAACCCUCUGGAGGGAGAAAUUCCUCGGCCUGGCAUCUGGAUCUCUCUGGAUAUCUGAGGCCCCGGGCCUGCCGCUGUCUUUCCCUGGGCCCCCUUCUCCCUUUCUUUGCCUGGCACAUGCAUUCAUGCUCUAUAGUCCAAUUCAGCUAUCGAUUCUUCCCUGACAUCUGGGGCAGGGUCAGCCAGUCCCUCCUGUGGCUCCGGUGUCCCCAGCUUGGUACCACCACUGAUAGCUGUCUGGAACCUGGCCUGCCUCUUCCACUAGACCUUGAGUACUAUGAGAGCAAAGACCUGGGCGAUUCAACUGGGUACCCAGGUAAACGUUAAAGAAAGCAAGCAGUGAGUCUCCCGAAACUCUGCCCUCUCACUACACUUCUUUCCCCAGAAACCUCCCAUGGCUUCCUGUCAUCAACAAAUUCCAUUCAAGAAGAAUGGGAAGGCUGGGCGUAGUGGCUCAUGCCUGUAAUCCCAGCACUUUGGGAGGCCGAGGUGGGCGGAUUACUUGAAGUCAGGAGUUCGAGACUAGCCUGGUCAACAUGGUAAAACCCUAUCUCUACUAAAAAAUACAAAAUAGCCAGGCAUGGUGUUGCAUACCUGUAAUCCCAGCUAUACAUAAGGCUGAGGGAGGAGAAUCGCUUGAACCCGGGAGGUGGAGGUUGCAAUGAGCCAAGAUCACAUCACUGCACUCCAGCCUGGGUGACAGAGGGAGACUCCAUCUCAAGG
rnacentral:antisense_RNA from 1 species